GACGAUCGCUGGCGGCGUGCUUAACACAUGCAAGUCGAACGAAAAUACCAAGCUUGCUUGGUUGAUUAGUGGCGAACGGGUGAGUAACACGUGAGUAACCUUCCCCUUACUUUCCUGUUUAACUACCCUUAAGGGUAGCUAAUACGGGAUAUUCUGACCAUCCUGCAUGGGUUGCUUUGGAAAGGUUGUUUUUCUGGUAAGGGAUGGGCUCGCGGCCUAUCAGCUUGUUGGUGGGGUGAUGGCCUACCAAGGCUUUGACGUGUAGCCGGCCUGAGAGGGUGGACGGUAACACUGGGACUGAGAUACGGCCCAGACACCUACGGGAGGAAGCAGUGGGGAAUAUUGCACAAUAGGCGCAAGCCUGAUGCAGCGACGACGCGUGAGGGAUGAAGGCCUUCGGGUUGUAAGCCUCUUUCGUCAGGGAAGAAGGCACUGCUUUUUUGGUGGUGUUGAGGGUACCUGGAUAAGAAGCGCCGGCUAACUACGUG
rnacentral:rRNA from 1 species